rnacentral:rRNA from 1 species
UUAAGUUAUUAAGGGCGCACGGUGGAUGCCUUGGCACUAGAAGCCGAUGAAGGACGUUACUAACGACGAUAUGCUUUGGGGAGCUGUAAGUAAGCUUUGAUCCAGAGAUUUCCGAAUGGGGAAACCCAGCAUGAGUUAUGUCAUGUUAUCGAUAUGUGAAUACAUAGCAUAUCAGAAGGCACACCCGGAGAACUGAAACAUCUUAGUACCCGGAGGAAGAAAAAGAAAAUUCGAUUCCCUUAGUAGCGGCGAGCGAAACGGGAAGAGCCCAAACCAACAAGCUUGCUUGUUGGGGUUGUAGGACACUCUAUACGGAGUUACAAAGGACGACAUUAGACGAAUCAUCUGGAAAGAUGAAUCAAAGAAGGUAAUAAUCCUGUAGUCGAAAAUGUUGUCUCUCUUGAGUGGAUCCUGAGUACGACGGAACACGUGAAAUUCCGUCGGAAUCUGGGAGGACCAUCUCCUAAGGCUAAAUACUCUCUAGUGACCGAUAGUGAACCAGUACCGUGAGGGAAAGGUGAAAAGCACCCCGGAAGGGGAGUGAAAUAGAACCUGAAACCGUGUGCUUACAAGUAGUCAGAGCCCGUUAAUGGGUGAUGGCGUGCCUUUUGUAGAAUGAACCGGCGAGUUACGAUUUGAUGCAAGGUUAAGCAGUAAAUGUGGAGCCGUAGCGAAAGCGAGUCUGAAUAGGGCGUUUAGUAUUUGGUCGUAGACCCGAAACCAGGUGAUCUACCCUUGGUCAGGUUGAAGUUCAGGUAACACUGAAUGGAGGACCGAACCGACUUACGUUGAAAAGUGAGCGGAUGAACUGAGGGUAGCGGAGAAAUUCCAAUCGAACCUGGAGAUAGCUGGUUCUCUCCGAAAUAGCUUUAGGGCUAGCCUCAAGUGAUGAUUAUUGGAGGUAGAGCACUGUUUGGACGAGGGGCCCCUCUCGGGUUACCGAAUUCAGACAAACUCCGAAUGCCAAUUAAUUUAACUUGGGAGUCAGAACAUGGGUGAUAAGGUCCGUGUUCGAAAGGGAAACAGCCCAGACCACCAGCUAAGGUCCCAAAAUAUAUGUUAAGUGGAAAAGGAUGUGGCGUUGCCCAGACAACUAGGAUGUUGGCUUAGAAGCAGCCAUCAUUUAAAGAGUGCGUAAUAGCUCACUAGUCGAGUGACACUGCGCCGAAAAUGUACCGGGGCUAAACAUAUUACCGAAGCUGUGGAUUGUCCUUUGGACAAUGGUAGGAGAGCGUUCUAAGGGCGUUGAAGCAUGAUCGUAAGGACAUGUGGAGCGCUUAGAAGUGAGAAUGCCGGUGUGAGUAGCGAAAGACGGGUGAGAAUCCCGUCCACCGAUUGACUAAGGUUUCCAGAGGAAGGCUCGUCCGCUCUGGGUUAGUCGGGUCCUAAGCUGAGGCCGACAGGCGUAGGCGAUGGAUAACAGGUUGAUAUUCCUGUACCACCUAUAAUCGUUUUAAUCGAUGGGGGGACGCAGUAGGAUAGGCGAAGCGUGCGAUUGGAUUGCACGUCUAAGCAGUAAGGCUGAGUAUUAGGCAAAUCCGGUACUCGUUAAGGCUGAGCUGUGAUGGGGAGAAGACAUUGAGUCUUCGAGUCGUUGAUUUCACACUGCCGAGAAAAGCCUCUAGAUAGAAAAUAGGUGCCCGUACCGCAAACCGACACAGGUAGUCAAGAUGAGAAUUCUAAGGUGAGCGAGCGAACUCUCGUUAAGGAACUCGGCAAAAUGACCCCGUAACUUCGGGAGAAGGGGUGCUCUUUAGGGUUAACGCCCAGAAGAGCCGCAGUGAAUAGGCCCAAGCGACUGUUUAUCAAAAACACAGGUCUCUGCUAAACCGUAAGGUGAUGUAUAGGGGCUGACGCCUGCCCGGUGCUGGAAGGUUAAGAGGAGUGGUUAGCUUCUGCGAAGCUACGAAUCGAAGCCCCAGUAAACGGCGGCCGUAACUAUAACGGUCCUAAGGUAGCGAAAUUCCUUGUCGGGUAAGUUCCGACCCGCACGAAAGGCGUAACGAUUUGGGCACUGUCUCAACGAGAGACUCGGUGAAAUCAUAGUACCUGUGAAGAUGCAGGUUACCCGCGACAGGACGGAAAGACCCCGUAGAGCUUUACUGUAGCCUGAUAUUGAAAUUCGGCACAGCUUGUACAGGAUAGGUAGGAGCCUUUGAAACGUGAGCGCUAGCUUACGUGGAGGCGCUGGUGGGAUACUACCCUAGCUGUGUUGGCUUUCUAACCCGCACCACUUAUCGUGGUGGGAGACAGUGUCAGGCGGGCAGUUUGACUGGGGCGGUCGCCUCCUAAAAGGUAACGGAGGCGCUCAAAGGUUCCCUCAGAAUGGUUGGAAAUCAUUCAUAGAGUGUAAAGGCAUAAGGGAGCUUGACUGCGAGACCUACAAGUCGAGCAGGGUCGAAAGACGGACUUAGUGAUCCGGUGGUUCCGCAUGGAAGGGCCAUCGCUCAACGGAUAAAAGCUACCCCGGGGAUAACAGGCUUAUCUCCCCCAAGAGUUCACAUCGACGGGGAGGUUUGGCACCUCGAUGUCGGCUCAUCGCAUCCUGGGGCUGUAGUCGGUCCCAAGGGUUGGGCUGUUCGCCCAUUAAAGCGGUACGCGAGCUGGGUUCAGAACGUCGUGAGACAGUUCGGUCCCUAUCCGUCGUGGGCGUAGGAAAUUUGAGAGGAGCUGUCCUUAGUACGAGAGGACCGGGAUGGACAUACCUCUGGUGUACCAGUUGUCGUGCCAACGGCAUAGCUGGGUAGCUAUGUGUGGACGGGAUAAGUGCUGAAAGCAUCUAAGCAUGAAGCCCCCCUCAAGAUGAGAUUUCCCAACUUCGGUUAUAAGAUCCCUCAAAGAUGAUGAGGUUAAUAGGUUCGAGGUGGAAGCAUGGUGACAUGUGGAGCUGACGAAUACUAAUCGAUCGAAGACUUAAUCAA